GGGGAACCCGGUGGGAAUCCGGGGCUGACGCGCAGCGGUGUGGGGGCGACGACCGCCUCCGAGCCCGAAUGCCC
rnacentral:ncRNA from 2 species